AACGAACGCUGGCGGCGUGCUUAACACAUGCAAGUCGAACGCGAAAGUGGUCUUCGGACUGCGAGUAGAGUGGCGCACGGGUGAGUAACGCGUAAAUAAUCUACCCUGGUGUCCAGGAUAACCGGCCGAAAGGCUGACUAAUACUGGAUAUAUGCAUAUUCGCGGGGAUAUGCAGGAAAGGUGGCCUCUUCUUGAAAGCUAUCGCACGGGGAUGAGUUUGCGUACCAUUAGCUAGUUGGUGGGGUAAAGGCCUACCAAGGCGACGAUGGUUAGCGGGUCUGAGAGGAUGAUCCGUCACACUGGCACUGGAACACGGGCCAGACUCCUACGGGUGGCUG
rnacentral:rRNA from 1 species